rnacentral:lncRNA from 1 species
GCCUAUGAAACUGAUAGAUAGACAUGUUUGCAUUCAUGAUAGACCAGAGAUCAGGGAUUAGAUAAGAAGAAAGAAUAACAGAGAUGAGGCAAAGGAUAAAAGGAAAAAAAUAUUGUUUUUUUAUUAUUUUUAGAAAAAUGAUUAAGCUAGUUCGUAGUCAAAUCAGCCACCGUCUCCCCGGCAACGGCACCAAAAAGCUUGUUGACACUUGCUAACACCACUUGAAUACUAGGU